rnacentral:lncRNA from 1 species
AUGAUCUUUAAUUGUCUAUUCUUUCUCCCUGCAGAUCAGACACACAGAGAGAAACAUGACAGACAGAGUCCUGACAUUUCUAGACCUACCAAGUCAGCCUCAAGGCCAGCCAGUCUCCUCACAACAAGGCCAGCGUCACUGUCAGAGGGGACAAGCCCCUCGCCCUCUCCAGAGCAGGACAGACACACAGUGGGAAUCAGUAUCCCAAAUGGUACAGUGACCAGACCUGAGGGAUGGGAGGCAGAGCAGCAAAGCAUUGUGGGACCUGAAACAGCAACAGGACAACUGCAGUGCGAGGCUUUUGCAUUUAUCAACACAGAGCUCGGAAACACAGACAGAUCUACAUGGCCCGCUGACCCAAAAGAGCAGUUUACGACAGGGAGGUGUGAGAAGCCUGAACCCACUGAGGGGGUGAGCCCCCCUCUCAGAGGAAGUGACAUAACUGAAGAGUCAUGUGACCCCACAGAAGAUGGCCCACUUCCAAGUAAAGCUGAUGAAGAUGAAGAUGAAGACGAAGACUCACGGGAGGCCAGUCUGCCCAUCACUCCAGAUGACACCUCCUUGUGCUGUGUGCCCUUGACUUCUGACAGGGAAAUUAAAAAGGACGUUAACCAACCUAUUUCCGGAGGUACAGAAACACAAAACCUUAUUCACCGCUUUUCCAAUGAGAAUCAAAAGCCUAGUAUACCUGGUCGGUCUCCUGCAUGUGGACAAACAGACCACAGUGUUUCAGAAAUACUCUGUGAUGAUAAUGUAAACACACAGACGUCCGUGUCUACCAGACAAGACAAUAGAGAGCCCCCCGUGGCAGUUGUUUCCAUGCUCUCCUCUGCCAACAGUCUGAAACAAAACAAUAUCAACAACUUAUUAAAAGCAAAGAGGAGCACUUUUAAAGCUUCAAAUAAGCAUGUAACGUCCUCAGCCUCUCCAUCCUCAGAGACUGAAGAGACAAGAACAGGAAGUGUGAAGUCACCAACAACAGGUGCAAACGCUUCUACUGCAGACACUGAUCAGGGUGGAUCUGCACUGGCAUCCUCGGCCUGCCGCACUGAGAGCAUCACAGCCGGCAGGUCCCACCGCCCUCACAGCCUCUCCUCUGCAGAGCAGGCGCGCUCUCCCUCGCCGAGGAUCCAGGGUCCUGGUAGAAGCCACCUAGAUGCUGUGCCUAGACGCAACACUUAUCUAGAGUCACCUGGCUCUUUGGCCCCUCUCAAGGCCAGGCAUUAUCUCGCUGGCACAUCUCUGGAGAAGGCCAAGUCAUGUGAGAGGUUGCCUCUAAGGGCAGCGAGUGCAGAUUCCUCUACCUGCCAUUCCUCUUCUGCUCCUCGUGACACUAGAUUUAUGUCCUCCUCAGACAGAAUUCAUAUCCUAGCGAUGCAGCACGCCCAAGGACCUAAAUCAGGAAGGGACGAUCAGGACUCAAAUGGGCUUCAGCUUCCUUACAACCAAAAAAGAGGGAGAAGUUAUUCUACUUAUGACUUAAGUUCAUCAUCGCAUUCUCAUACUCCUUCGCAUUCCAAUAGUAGAGACAACUUCAAGCUUGCACGUAAACAAAGAUCGUUAACUGUAAGCACCUCAACUCUGCCACAGCAUGGUUUAGCCGUAGAUGAACAUCCCCACCAAUCAAAUUUGAGUGUCUUCGCAACCAACCGCCUUAGACAUUCACAACAAGCCACUCCAGACAGAGAAGACUUCCGAGGAGACUUCCAACAAUGCACUAAAUUCAGCUCCCAUGAUAAUUUAAGUAAAAAUUCACUAAACAAAUUUGAUUCAUUAAAGGUCAGUAUCAAUGCAGACCCAAUUCCAAUCAAAAAGAAGAGGAAUUAUCCGCCAGAUAUGAACUAUCCUACUAACCAUUUUAAUUAUCAAGAACAUGAUGGAAGGUCAGAUGUAGUCCUCACAGACACAACAUUCAAAGAAUAUCAUCAUACUACUUUAUACAGCACGGUAAAGGAGAAAAACAACGAAAGAUGGUCGUCAGUCUCAGACCUGGAAAACCCUGAAGUCAAUCACAAGACACAGAAGCACAUUUUUGUGGAGCAGCACACUUUCUUUCGUAAAAAACAAACCUUCACAAAGCCAAGGGAUCUCUUGUUAGAUUCUACAGGUAGCCAGAUCAGUUUGGACUGGAGUUCUGAAGACACGGACGAGGACAUCUUCUCCAUUUCACAUGAUCAGUGCAGUCAGGGGAGUCCCCCAAACUACUUCACUAACUAUGACAGGGGACUAAAAUGUCAUCAUAAAUCUUCCUCUAAUGUACAUCAGGAAAUUCACAACCGAACGAAUAAGGACUCUUAUUCAGGAAAAUUCAGUUUAAAACGUGGACGCUCUUUCUCUGUGACCAACAUCUCCUCGAACAGAGCUGUAGGCCUUAGACGAAUAUCCACAGGAAGCAGGACCGCCACACUCGCAGAUCUGAGGGACUGUGAGGACUUUGACAAUGCUGUUUCACACCGACCCAAAACACUCUCCUGUACUUUGGACCAGACUGUGCCCUGUGAGCCGGUUAAGAGCUUUCAAGCCAACAGCCACAUGUGGCGUGGUGGUAGCCUGAUUUCAUCCGUCGGUUCCUUACUUUCAACUAGUCAAGUGUGUCUAGACAGAUCGUUUCCCUCAAGCAGCUACUAUCUCACUCAUGAAGACUUAGAGGACAGUGACAGUGACACAAUCUCAGAGGGUGAAUAUUACCUGUAUGAUCAGGAUAAUGACCUGGAGUCUUCUCUGUAG